rnacentral:rRNA from 1 species
UACGUAGGUGGCGAGCGUUGUCCGGAUUUACUGGGCGUAAAGGGCGCGUAGGCGGCCACCGCAAGUCAGUUGUGAAAUCUCUGGGCUUAACCCAGAACGGUCAGCUGAUACUGCGGGGCUAGAGUGCAGAAGGGGCAACUGGAAUUCUCGGUGUAGCGGUGAAAUGCGUAGAUAUCGAGAGGAACACCUGCGGCGAAGGCGGGUUGCUGGGCUGACACUGACGCUGACAGCGCGAAAGCUAGGGGAGCGAACGGG